GAGACCUCAGGUCAGGCGGGACUACCCGCUGAAUUUAAGCAUAUCAAUAAGCGGAGGAAAAGAAACUAACAAGGAUUCCC
rnacentral:rRNA from 2 species